rnacentral:rRNA from 1 species
AGAGUUUGAUCAUGGCUCAGGAUGAUCGCUGGCGGUAUGCCUUAUACAUGCAAGUCGUACGAGAGUUUUUAACUCAAGUGGCGGACGGGUGAGUAACACGUAAGAAUGUACCUUUAGGAGGGGGACAACAACUGGAAACGGUUGCUAAUACCCCAUAUGCUUUCGAGUGAAAUGGAUUUCCGCCUAAAGAGCAGCUUGCGGCUGAUUAGCUUGUUGGUAGGGUAAUGGCCUACCAAGGCGACGAUCAGUAUCUGGUUUGAGAGGACGAUCAGACACACUGGAACUGAUACACGGUCCAGACUCCUACGGGAGGCAGCAGUAGGGAAUUUUCCGCAAUGGGCGAAAGCCUGACGGAGCAAUACCGCGUGAGGGAUGACUGCCUAUGGGUUGUAAACCUCUUUUUUCAGGGAGGAAUAAAUGACGUGUACCUGAAGAAUAAGCAUCGGCUAACUCCGUGCCAGCAGCCGCGGUAAGACGGAGGAUGCAAGUGUUAUCCGGAAUCACUGGGCGUAAAGCGUCUGUAGGUGGCUCGACAAGUCAACUGUUAAAUCUUGAAGCUCAACUUCGAAAUCGCAGUCGAAACUAUCGAACUAGAGUAUAGUAGAGGUAAAGGGAAUUUCCAGUGGAGCGGUGAAAUGCGUAGAGAUUGGAAAGAACACCGAUGGCGAAGGCACUUUACUGGGCUAUUACCGACACUCAGAGACGAAAGCUAGGGUAGCAAAUGGGAUUAGAUACCCCAGUAGUCCUAGCCGUAAACAAUGGAUACUAGGUGUUGAACAGAUCGACCUGUGCAGUACCAAAGCUAACGCGUUAAGUAUCCCGCCUGGGAAGUAUGCACGCAAGUGUGAAACUCAAAGGAAUUGACGGGGGCCC